AUGAAGAGAUGCUGGGAGACUCUGCUGGGGAUCCUGUGGGUGCAGCAUUUCUGGGUGAGAGGGAUGAAGGUGGAGCAGUCUCCUUCAUCUCUUUAUCUUCUGGAGGGAACCAGCUCUACUCUGACAUGCAGCUAUUCUACCUCAGCAGACAAUGUACAGUGGUUCCGACAGAAUCCUGGUGGCAGCCUCGUCAAUCUGUUUUACAUUGCUAGAGGGAGUAAGGAAAUGGGAAGGUUAAAAGCCACAGUGAAUUCUAAAGAACGGUACAGCAUCCUGAACAUCACCACCUCCCAGCUGCAGGACUCAGCCACCUACUUUUGUGCAGCACAGCACAGUGGUCCCAGACCAAUUGCAGCCUGA